rnacentral:lncRNA from 1 species
GCUCUGGGGCCACCAUGGUCACGCUGGGGCCACCCCAGCUGCACGGUGGCCACCAUGGCCGUUCUGGUGGUCCAUCCCUCCCCCCCCCGGCUCUGACCCCCCCUGUUUCCCCCCCAGGGUGAGCGCAAAGGCACCAACAAGUACUACCCCCCCGACUUCGACCCGGCCAAGCAUGGCUCCCUCAACAAGUACCACGGUAGCCACCCGCUGCGGGAGCGGGCCCGCAAGCUGUCCCAGGGCAUCCUCAUCAUCAGGUUCGAGAUGCCCUUUAACAUCUGGUGCGACGGCUGCAAGAACCACAUCGGGAUGGGUUCCGGAUGAAGUGUCACCUCUGCGUCAACUACAUCGAGCUGCAGACGGACCCCGCCGGCUGCGACUACGUCAUCGUCAGCGGCGCCCGGCGCAAGGAGGAGCGUUGGGACAUGGGGGACAACCAGCAGGUCCUGCCCACCGGUGGGUGAGACACCCCCACAUUGGGGGGGACGUCACCCCCCCCAGAGCAGGGUGACCCUCAGGGUCCCACCCAGGGGGGGUGGGAUGUGUCCGGAGAAGGAGACACCCCCCCCCUCCAUCUCUCUGGGCGGCCUCUCCCUUCUCUCAAAAUGGAGAAGUUCCUCCUCGGGGUGAGGUAGAACUUCCCGAGUCCCAGUUUGUCC